GAGUACCGCUGCGCUAGCGCGUUCGGCUAUUAACCGAAAGGUUGGAGGUUCGAACUUUUCUCUCCCAGCAUCU